rnacentral:rRNA from 1 species
CCUACGGGCGGCAGCAGUGAGGAAUAUUGGUCAAUGGCCGAGAGGCUGAACCAGCCAAGUAGCGUGAAGGAUGACUGCCCUAUGGGUUGUAAACUUCUUUUAUAUGGGAAUAAAGUGAUCCACGUGUGGGUUUUUGUAUGUACCAUAUGAAUAAGGAUCGGCUAACUCCGUGCCAGCAGCCGCGGUAAUACGGAGGAUCCGAGCGUUAUCCGGAUUUAUUGGGUUUAAAGGGAGCGUAGGUGGUUUGUUAAGUCAGUUGUGAAAGUUUGCGGCUCAACCGUAAAAUUGCAGUUGAAACUGGCAGUCUUGAGUACGUUAGAGGUGGGCGGAAUGCGUGGUGUAGCGGUGAAAUGCUUAGAUAUCACGAAGAACUCCGAUUGCGAAGGCAGCUUACUGGACUGCAACUGACACUGAGGCUCGAAAGUGUGGGUAUCAAACAGGAUUAGAUACCCCUGUAGUC